rnacentral:rRNA from 1 species
AUUGAACGCUGGCGGAAUGCUUUACACAUGCAAGUCGAACGGCAGCACGGGGCAACCUGGUGGCGAGUGGCGAACGGGUGAGUAAUACAUCGGAACGUGCCCAAUCGUGGGGAUAACGUAGCGAAGUUACGCUAAUACCGCAUACGAUCUACGGAUGAAAGCGGGGGAUCGCAAGACCUCGCGCGAGUGGAGCGGCCGAUGUCAGAUUAGGUAGUUGGUGGGGUAAAGGCUCACCAAGCCAACGAUCUGUAGCUGGUCUGAGAGGACGACCAGCCACACUGGAACUGAGACACGGUCCAGACUCCUACGGGAGGCAGCAGUGGGGAAUUUUGGACAAUGGGCGCAAGCCUGAUCCAGCCAUUCCGCGUGCAGGAUGAAGGCCUUC